rfam:Myotis lucifugus cont2.28778, whole genome shotgun sequence.
GGCGGUUCUCAGGUGACGCACCUCAGAAUCAGGCUCCCUCCUCUCUGGUUCCAGGUGCGUCACAUGAGAACCACC